rnacentral:lncRNA from 1 species
AUGAAGAUCUCUUUCAACGAGACAAGUUUGCAGACGAUGUUUGAGUACCCGUCAGAGAGCUCCCUGGCAGAAGAGGAUGAGGAAGAGGAAGGACACGCUUUGGAGACAGAGGAAAAAUCUCGUACCUUUUAUAUUCCACGCCCAAACAGCACUUUGCAUCCCAGUACACCUAACUCAGAUUUAUCCAGCUACACCCCAAAGCACUCUGUGAAAUUCAGCGAGUGGCAGGAGCAGAAGUAUGAGGGUCCUGCUGCAGUGGGAUCUCUCCCAAAGGAAGCUGAUUCCCAUGGGAACCAAGUCAUGGUGAGGCUAUAAAUAACCAACUCUUGUGCUUCCUUGUGGGGUGGGGGUUGUUCCAGGCAGUGGAUGGGACAGGAUGUGCCUUCCCCUGCACACCUGUGUUUGUGUUGCUCCCCAGGGAGCUGUGUCACUGCUCCCAAAGGGACCAACACACUGUCCCACUGCCACUACCACACCUGCCCCUCCCUGGCUGCGUGAAGGAAACUCAGGGCAGCUGGCACACUCUGUGCUCAGCGGGAAAGGCAUGGAUGUUUUGGAAGAAGUCCAGAGGGAGGCCAGAGAGAUGCUUCAUGGGUUGAAGCCCCUCUGCUCUGGAGCCAGGCUGGGAGAGCUGGGG